rnacentral:rRNA from 1 species
CGGAGGAUCCAAGCGUUAUCCGGAAUCAUUGGGUUUAAAGGGUCCGUAGGCGGGUUUAUAAGUCAGUGGUGAAAAGCCCAUCGCUCAACGAUGGAACGGCCAUUGAUACUGUAGAUCUUGAAUUAUUAGGAAGUAACUAGAAUAUGUAGUGUAGCGGUGAAAUGCUUAGAGAUUACAUGGAAUACCAAUUGCGAAGGCAGGUUACUACUAAUGGAUUGACGCUGAUGGACGAAAGCGUGGGUAGCGAACAGGAUUAGAUACCCUGGUAGUCCACGCCGUAAACGAUGGAUACUAGCUGUUCGGAGCAAUCUGAGUGGCUAAGCGAAAGUGAUAAGUAUCCCACCUGGGGAGUACGUUCGCAAGAAUG